CCUACGGGUGGCAGCAGUGAGGAAUAUUGGUCAAUGGGCGGAAGCCUGAACCAGCCAAGUCGCGUGAGGGAAUAAGGCCCUACGGGUCGUAAACCUCUUUUGCCGGGGAGCAAGGGCGGGGACGUGUCCCGGCCCGGAGAGUACCCGGAGAAAAAGCAUCGGCUAACUCCGUGCCAGCAGCCGCGGUAAUACGGAGGAUGCGAGCGUUAUCCGGAUUUAUUGGGUGUAAAGGGCGUGCAGCCGGAGAGACAAGUCAGAUGUGAAAUCCACGGGCUCAACCCGUGAACUGCAUUUGAAACUGUUUCCCUUGAGUGUCGGAGAGGUAAGCGGAAUUCCUUGUGUAGCGGUGAAAUGCGUAGAUAUAAGGAAGAACACCAGUGGCGAAGGCGGAUUACUGGACGAUAACUGACGGUGAGGCGCGAAAGCGUGGGGAGCAAACAGGAUUAGAUACCCUGGUAGUC
rnacentral:rRNA from 1 species